rnacentral:tRNA from 1 species
UAAACAAAACCUAAUAAUAGGAUUACAGUGAUAGUGUAAUUUAGUGAUUGUGAUCACUUGUUUAA